ensembl:lncRNA DLG1-AS1 DLG1 antisense RNA 1
GAGCCGCCCUCGGCCAGCGCUGCAGGUUUGUUUCGUGCGCACCUCCGGGCGGAAUUACCGGCCGGCUGGGACCCCGCUCCCGGUCUGAGCCACCCAGGUUAUAGAAGGGGAAUCUCGGGAAGCUUUCCAAGUCACUGCCCACGUCUUCGAACUUCCUCGGGGUGACGAGGACCUCCCUAUUAGGAGGUCCAGAGAGAAUUUGCCCAAAGUUACCCCGAGUGAGUGACAGAACUGGAAACCCGGAGAUCCUGUCUUUCAAAACCGGAAGGCUCUUCCCAGUAAACCUGACGGCCUCUGACUGAGGCCGUAUCCAUUGGCUACCAAAGGGAAGGCCGAGGAACCUCGUAUUGUAACCUUAACAGCUACUCAGAGGCCCCAGCUUAUAAAUCUAUGAAGGUGUCCAGGUCCUGCCAGACUCCGCUGCAUCUUUUGCUUUCACUCCAGCAGGGUAGCAGCAUGCUGCCUGUGCCAAGGCAAUCACUAAAAGGAAAGGAUUUAAUGCUGUCAAAAAAGCUUAUGCCAGCUUAGGCUGCAGGAAGAGGAACAGUGUCAAGUAUGUUGAAAGUGGACAUAUUGGUCAGACCUCCAUGAGAGCCUAGGGGGCAUUGCUUAGCAGCACGCUUUUAAAGGAAUCUGAACAAACCAGCAUGUGGAAAGAAGAGAGUAACCACAGCAAUCAGGAAACAACUGUACAAUCUAGGGCCAUUUCAUUGGAAAAACAGAAGUCUCCAGGGAGCUGCAGUCAUCAAACAGGCUUAUUCUGUGUACCCAGUGGGCAAGUACAGUCAAUGGAUGAAAAUUCAACCAAUGGACAAACACAGGAAGUUUUUCCUUAACAUGAGUUGUCAGAAACUGUCCAAAAUUCCAAAGAGCUGCCUCAAGGUAGUGGAAAUUUUUUUUUUUUUUUAAUCAGGAAGGUGCUGAAUGAAGCCAGCAAGGAUUCUGUGUCAGAGGGUGGUAGAUACCCAGGACAUAAGGUUGAACCACGUGACCUCUGAGACCACAGUUCUAAGCUGUUGAAACCUCAGUCCCUGCUGAAUACUGAAAUGGUAUUAGCACCCUUUAGUCUACAUCAAGAAUUCGUUCUACCCAGUUUUGGUGGUACCAAGACUGAUCUCUUUCUCAUAGAUAAUUCUUAACAGAAUAAAAGCUACAGGUUGAAACCAAUUCCCUUUAAAAUGUGGACAGUUGACCAUCUCCAUGAUAGGUAGUUAGGCACUGAAUUAAUGCUUUUUAAUGGAAGAGCCACCCUAAGAUUCCUGGAGUGUGGUAUAAUGGAGUACUAAAUCAGCAUAGGACUAAUAACUGCCUCCCGUGUAAACUGGUCUAUCCGGAGAGUGGUAUAGCCUCUCAUACAGUGUUCAAAGGCAGAUUUAACUCACUGCAGGUCCACAGCAACCGAUAAGAUAAACUCGUUGGUUAUGGUCUCCCACUUUGCAAAGGAGAGCACAGAGGAAGAGGAAACUGAGAUAACUUGGUUUAGGACCCCACAGCUGGCUGGAGCUGGGCUGAACAUUAGUUCAUUGUUUCUUCGAUUAAUCUAUGCUGCUUUUUCUCUACUUGGCUCCUUUUCUAAAUUAAACAAAACAAAACAAAAAA